rnacentral:rRNA from 1 species
GCCAAAAACCUAGCCUCACAUCAAACCACUACUUUCUUCUAAAAAAUAAAAUAUUUUAACAUUUUAGUAAAGACGAUUGAAAAAUUUUUUAACGCUAUAAACUGUACCGCAAGGGAAAGAUGAAAUAAAAAUGAAAUAAACUUUAAGCACAAAAAAAUAGAGAUUCACCCUUGUACCUUUUGCAUCAUGGUUUAGCUAGUCUAAUUAGGCAAAACGACCUUAAGUCUAACUUCCCGAAACUAAGUGAGCUAUUUUGAGGCUGCUUUAUGAGCUAACCCGUCUAUGUUGCAAAAUAGUGGGGUGACCUAAAAAUAGAGGUGAAAGACCUAACGAACUUAGUUAUAGCUGGUUUCUCGAGAAACGAAUUUUAGUUCAACCUAAAGUAAACAAAAACAUGUAAAUUAUACCUUACUUUAAAGUAAUUCAAAUAAGGUACAGCCUAUUUGACACAGGAUUCAACCUUUACCAACGGGUAAUAAUUAACUAACACCCCCUAAGUGGGCCUAAAGGCAGCCAUCUUAUUAAAAGCGUUAAAGCUUAGUCGUGUUAAUUUUAAUAAAUACCACAUUAUUGACCCCUUCACCACUACCGAGAACUUCUAUAAAAUAUAGAACCUUUUAUGCUAAAACUAGUAACAAGAGGAAACACCUCUCUAUUAUGCAAGUAUAAACCAGAAAGAAUUACUCACUGGUACUUAACAAAUAAAAUAGUAACUCUCCCCUAGAAAACUCUAUUUCUCAUAAUGUUAACCUAACACUAGAGCAUCUCAAGAAAGAUUAAAAGAAAAAGAAGGAACUCGGCAAAUAUUUACCCCGCCUGUUUACCAAAAACAUCACCUCUUGACUUUAUAAGAGGCCCAGCCUGCCCAGUGACUCUUGUUUAACGGCCGCGGUACCCUAACCGUGCGAAGGUAGCGUAAUCACUUGUCCUAUAAAUGAGGACUAGUAUGAAAGGCUUCACGAGGGUUAAACUGUCUCCUUUCUCUAAUCAGUAAACCUAAUCUCCCCGUGAAGAAGCGGGGAUAACUUUAUAAGACGAGAAGACCCCAUGGAGCUUUAAACACCAUAACACAUGCCACAUCUAUCAUCUCCCCGGCACUCACACUCGUGACAUUCUGUUUAAAUGUUUUUGGUUGGGGUGACCGCGGGGAAUAAAAUAUCCCCCGCGAUGAAAAGGUAUACCCUUAAACUACAAGUCACAACUUUAAGUAUCAGAAAACUGACAUACUUUGACCCAAUUCUUUGAUCAACGAACCAAGUUACCCUGGGGAUAACAGCGCAAUCCACCUCGAGAGCCCUUAUCGACAGGUGGGCUUACGACCUCGAUGUUGGAUCAGGGUAUCCUGGUGGUGCAGCCGCUACCAAACGGUGUCGUUUGUUCAGACGAA